UACGUAGGGUGCAAGCAUUAAUCGGAUUUAUUGGGCGUAAAGGGCGCGUAGGCGGGGAGGUCAGUCAGAUGUGAAAUCCCGGAGCUCAACUCCGGAACAGCAUUUGAAACUACCUCUCUAGAGGGUAGGCGGAGAAAACGGAAUUCCACAAGUAGCGGUGAAAUGCGUAGAUAUGUGGAAGAACACCAGUGGCGAAGGCGGUUUUCUAGCUUAUACCUGACGCUGAGGCGCGAAAGCAAGGGGAGCAAACAGG
rnacentral:rRNA from 1 species